rnacentral:rRNA from 1 species
GAUGAACGCUGGCGGCAUGCUUUACACAUGCAAGUCGAACGGGGUGAGGGGGCAACUCCUCAUUCAGUGGCGAACGGGUGAGUAAUGCAUCGGAACGUGUCCCGUAGUGGGGGAUAACUCGGCGAAAGCCGAGCUAAUACCGCAUAUGCUCUACGGAGGAAAGUGGGGGACCUGAAAGGGCCUCACGCUAUGGGAGCGGCCGAUGUCCGAUUAGCUUGUUGGUGGGGUAAUGGCCUACCAAGGCUUCGAUCGGUAGCUGGUCCUGAGAGGACGACCAGCCACACUGGGACUGAGACACGGCCCAGACUCCUACGGGAGGCAGCAGUGGGGAAUUUUGGACAAUGGGCGCAAGCCUGAUCCAGCCAUGCCGCGUGCGGGAAGAAGGCCUCGG